rnacentral:rRNA from 1 species
AAUUGCAGGACACAUUGAACAUCGACAUCUUGAACGCAUAUUGCGGCUUCGGGUCACUCCCGAGGCCACGUCUGUCUGAGGGUCGGCGAAUAGCACUCGCAAGCGCAAGGCUUGCGCCUUGGCCCGUCGGUUGAUGCGGUGGUCAAUCGUCGAGCCCGAGAGAAAGCCACGGGUGUUCGAAGUUUCUAAAACUCACCCUUGUAUCUUCUUCCUUUGAGGAUGCUUUUGUGCACCUGCGAUGGGAGUCGCUGCUCGAUGUUGGUCGAGCGAGGGGGCCCCAGCGCUCUCGUCGCAAGCUCUAUGGUGUGCGAAGGCGUUUGCUUAGGCUAGAGGGUACGCUGCUCGUAUAAGGGAGAGCGAGUAGAAAGCACUCGGCGGGGGAAGCCCAAAAGUCUCUCU